rnacentral:rRNA from 1 species
CCUACGGGAGGCUGCAGUAGGGAAUUUUCCACAAUGGGCGAAAGCCUGAUGGAGCAACGCCGCGUGGGUGAAGAAGGUCUUCGGAUCGUAAAACUCUGUUGUUAGAGAAGAAAGUGCGCGAUAGUAACUGUUCACGUUUCGACGGUAUCUAACCAGAAAGCCACGGCUAACUACGUGCCAGCAGCCGCGGUAAUACGUAGGUGGCAAGCGUUAUCCGGAUUUAUUGGGCGUAAAGGGAACGCAGGCGGUCUUUUAAGUCUGAUGUGAAAGCCUUCGGCUUAACCGGAGUAGUGCAUUGGAAACUGGGAGACUUGAGUGCAGAAGAGGAGGGUGGAACUCCAAGUGUAGCGGUGAAAUGCGUAGAUAUAUGGAAGAACACCAGUGGCGAAGGCGGCUCUCUGGUCUGUAACUGACGCUGAGGUUCGAAAGCGUGGGUAGCAAACAGGAUUAGAUACCCCAGUAGUC